GAUGAACGCUGGCGGCGUGCCUAAUACAUGCAAGUCGAGCGAAUGGAUUAAGAGCUUGCUCUUAUGAAGUUAGCGGCGGACGGGUGAGUAACACGUGGGUAACCUGCCCAUAAGACUGGGAUAACUCCGGGAAACCGGGGCUAAUACCGGAUAACAUUUUGAACCGCAUGGUUCGAAAUUGAAAGGCGGCGGCUGUCACUUAUGGAUGGACCCGCGUCGCAUUAGCUAGUUGGUGAGGUAACGGCUCACCAAGGCAACGAUGCGUAGCCGACCUGAGAGGGUGAUCGGCCACACUGGGACUGAGACACGGCCCAGACUCCUACGGGAGGCAGCUGUAGGGAAUCUUCCGCAAUGGACGAAAGUCUGACGGAGCAACGCCGCGUGAGUGAUGAAGGCUUUCGGGUCGUAAAACUCUGUUGUUAGGGAAGAACAAGUGCUAGUUGAAUAAGCUGACACCUUGACGGUACCUAACCAGAAAGCCACGGCUAACCACGUGCCAGCCGCCGCAGUAA
rnacentral:rRNA from 1 species